rnacentral:tRNA from 1 species
UUAAUUGAAACCAAAAUAGAGGUAUAUUAUUGUUAAUAAUAAAAAUGAAAUCAAUUCCAAUUAAA